UACGUAGGGGGCUAGCGUUGUCCGGAUUUAUUGGGCGUAAAGAGCGUGUAGGCGGCCAGGUAGGUCUGGUGUGAAAACUCGAGGCUUAACCUUGAGAUGUCAUCGGAAACCAUUUGGCUAGAGUCCGGAAGAGGAAAGUGGAAUUCCACGUGUAGCAGUGAAAUGCGUAGAGAUGUGGAGGAACACCGAUGGCGAAGGCAGCCCCCUGGGUCAACACUGACGCUCAUGCACGAAAGCGUGGGGAGCAAACAGG
rnacentral:rRNA from 1 species